rnacentral:rRNA from 1 species
AACGAACGCUGGCGGCAGGCUUAACACAUGCAAGUCGAACGCCUGUAGCAAUACAGGAGUGGCAGACGGGUGAGUAACACGUGGGAACGUGCCCAAAGGUACGGAAGAACUCCGGGAAACUGGAGCUAAUACCGAAUGUGCCCGAGGGGGGCAAUAUUUAUCGCCUUUGGAUCGGCCCGCGUCUGAGUAGCUAGUUGGUGAGGUAAUGGCCUACCAGGGCGACGAUCAGUAGCUGGUCUGAGAGGAUGGCCAGCCACACUGGAACUGAGACACGGCCCAGACUCCUACGGGAGGCAGCAGUGGGGAACAUUGGACAAUGGGCGCAAGCCUGAUCCAGCCAUGCCGCGUGAGUGAUGAAGGCCUUAGGGUUGUAAAGCUCUUUCGCCAGGGACGAUAAUGACGGUACCUGGAUAAGAAGCCCCGGCUAACUUCGUGCCAGCAGCCGCCGUAA